rnacentral:rRNA from 1 species
GAUCAUGGCUCAGGAUGAACGCUGGCGGCGUGCUUAACACAUGCAAGUCGAACGAAGCGCUUUUACAGAUUUCUUCGGAAUGAAGUUUUAGUGACUGAGUGGCGGACGGGUGAGUAACGCGUGGGUAACCUGCCUCACACAGGGGGAUAACAGUUGGAAACGGCUGCUAAUACCGCAUAAGCGCACAGUACCGCAUGGUACGGUGUGAAAAACUCCGGUGGUAUGAGAUGGACCCGCGU